AUUCAAGAGGCCACGAAGAUCUAUGGAUCCUUAUGAGCCCUGAGGUAGUCCUGUAUGGGUAUCACAGGGGUGGUAGCUGGCUGGUCUUCCUCAAGAAGGCAUCAGUAAGGCGAAGGACAGCAGGUUGCCAGAAGGAGGUGGUAUUGAGGCUACCUGGAUGUGCCGUGACCAGAAGCAGGUGGAUAUUCCAGCUGUGAUUGGCUCGUGGAUGAGCCAAUAGGAGUGGAGCAGGGGGUAUAAAAACUGGUCGCAGCCUUGCUCUGGGGCAAGACGUUGCUAAGACAAUACACGACAAGAUGCUGUCCUGCCUCCAGUCCCUGCUAGGCUGUGAGAUGAGUACUUCCACUCGCCACUGCCCACCACUGUCAUUUCACUGCACUUGCAUAUAACUGUAUAAUGUAAGUACUCUGUGUGCCACCUUGUACUGUAUUAUUUUCUGUGCCAUUAAACUAAAGGAAUUGU